GAUGAACGCUGGCGGCGUGCCUAAUACAUGCAAGUCGAGCGAACAGAUGAGGAGCUUGCUCCUCUGACGUUAGCGGCGGACGGGUGAGUAACACGUGGAUAACCUACCUAUAAGACUGGGAUAACUUCGGGAAACCGGAGCUAAUACCGGAUAAUAUAUUGAACCGCAUGGUUCAAUAGUGAAAGACGGUUUUGCUGUCACUUAUAGAUGGAUCCGCGCCGCAUUAGAUAGUUGGUAAUGUAACGGCUUACCAAGGCAACGAUGCGUAGCCGACCUGAGAGGUUGAUCGGCCACACUGGAACUGAGACACGGUCCAGACCCCUGCGGGAGGCAGCAGUAGGGAAUCUUCCGCAAUGGGCGAAAGCUUGACGGAGCAACGCCGCGUGAGUGAUGAAGGUCUUCGGAUCGUAAAACUCUGUUAUUAGGGAAGAACAAAUGUGUAAGUAACUAUGCACGUCUUGACGGUACCUAAUCAGAAAGCCACGGCUAACUACGUG
rnacentral:rRNA from 1 species